GGACCUGACUGCUAUCGGAUUGAUACUAAGCCAUGCGAGUCAUUGUAGCAAUACAAGGCAUACGGCUCAGUAACGCGUAGUCAACCUAACCUAUGGACGGGAAUAACCUCGGGAAACUGAGAAUAAUACCCGAUAGAACAUUAUACCUGGAAUGGUUUAUGUUCCAAAUGAUUUAUCGCCGUAGGAUGGGACUGCGGCCUAUCAGUUUGUUGGUGAGGUAAUGGCCCACCAAGACUAUUACAGGUACGGGCUCUGAGAGGAGUAGCCCGGAGAUGGGUACUGAGACACGGACCCAGGCCCUAUGGGGCGCAGCAGGCGAGAAAACUUUGCAAUGUGCGAAAGCACGACAAGGUUAAUCCGAGUGAUUUCUGCUAAAGAAACCUUUUGUCAGUCCUAGAAACACUAAUGAAUAAGGGGUGGGCGAGUUCUGGUGU
rnacentral:rRNA from 1 species